rnacentral:lncRNA from 1 species
CGGAUCCUAGAUUCCAGCAGCAUAGAUCUGACCGAUUGGAUAGUGGCCCCUUUCGCCGUUUAGCAGUUCAAGCUAUGGUGGGCCGAAUGGAAACAGUACCUGUGCUGUGCUUCUGCGGCAAUAUAUUGCAAUCUUCUGGAUCCCAACAACAUCGACCCGAAUGCCGAGGUAUCGCUCUCCUUUCAGCCGAUUUUCAACUCCCCCUUUUUUUUACACCGACUCUUAUUGUUUUUUCAGUUUGAGAGCCUUGCUCCCCCAAAACGCAGUCGGAGUGGCCGGCUGAUAGAGGAUCGUUAUCCAUACACAGAAUUCCCC